AGUGAACGCUGGCGGUAGGCCUAACACAUGCAAGUCGAACGGCAGCACAGUAAGAGCUUGCUCUUACAGGUGGCGAGUGGCGGACGGGUGAGGAAUACAUCGGAAUCUACUUUUUCGUGGGGGAUAACGUAGGGAAACUUACGCUAAUACCGCAUACGACCUACGGGUGAAAGCAGGGGAUCUUCGGACCUUGCGCGAUUGAAUGAGCCGAUGUCGGAUUAGCUAGUUGGCGGGGUAAAGGCCCACCAAGGCGACGAUCCGUAGCUGGUCUGAGAGGAUGAUCAGCCCCACUGGAACUGAGACACGGUCCAGACUCCUACGGGAGGCAGCAGUGGGGAAUAUUGGACAAUGGGCGCAAGCCUGAUCCAGCCAUACCGCGUGGGUGAAGAAGGCCUUCGGGUUGUAAAGCCCUUUUGUUGGGAAAGAAAAGCAGCAGGUUAAUACCCCGCUGUUCUGACGGUACCCAAAGAAUAAGCACCGGCUAACUUCGUG
rnacentral:rRNA from 1 species